AGUUGGAAACGACUGUUAAUACCGCAUAAUAUCUGUGGAUUAAAGGUGGCUUUCGGGCUGUCGCAGAUGGAUGAGCCUGCGUUGGAUUAGCUAGUUGGUGGGGUAAGGGCCCACCAAGGCUACGAUCCAUAGCUGAUUUGAGAGGAUGAUCAGCCACAUUGGGACUGAGACACGGCCCAAACUCCUACGGGAGGCAGCAGUGGGGAAUAUUGGACAAUGGGGGCAACCCUGAUCCAGCAAUGCCAUGUGUGUGAAGAAGGCCCUAGGGUUGUAAAGCACUUUAGUUGGGGAGGAAAGCCUCAAGGUUAAUAGCCUUGGGGGAGGACGUUACCCAAAGAAUAAGCACCGGCUAACUCCGUGCCAGCAGCCGCGGUAAUACGGGGGGUGCAAGCGUUAAUCGGAAUUACUGGGCGUAAAGGGUCUGUAGGUGGUUUGUUAAGUCAGAUGUGAAAGCCCAGGGCUCAACCUUGGAACUGCAUUUGAUACUGGCAAACUAGAGUACGGUAGAGGAAUGGGGAAUUUCUGGUGUAGCGGUGAAAUGCGUAGAGAUCAGAAGGAACACCAAUGGCGAAGGCAACAUUCUGGACCGAUACUGACACUGAGGGACGAAAGCGUGGGGAUCAAACAGGAUUAGAUACCCUGGUAGUCCACGCUGUAAACGAUGAGUACUAGCUGUUGGAGUCGGUGUAAAGGCUCUAGUGGCGCAGCUAACGCGAUAAGUACUCCGCCUGGGGACUACGGCCGCAAGGCUAAAACUCAAAGGAAUUGACGGGGACCCGCACAAGCGGUGGAGCAUGUGGUUUAAUUCGAUGCAACGCGAAGAACCUUACCUGGUCUUGACAUCCUGCGAACUUUCUAGAGAUAGAUUGGUGCCUUCGGGAACGCAGUGACAGGUGCUGCACGGCUGUCGUCAGCUCGUGUUGUGAAAUGUUGGGUUAAGUCCCGCAACGAGCGCAACCCCUAUUGAUAGUUACCAUCAUUAAGUUGGGUACUCUAUUGAGACUGCCGCUGAC
rnacentral:rRNA from 1 species